AGGACGAGCGCUGGCGGCGUGCUUAACACAUGCAAGUCGAGCGGUAAGGCCUUUCGGGGUACACGAGCGGCGAACGGGUGAGUAACACGUGGGUGAUCUGCCCUGCACUUCGGGAUAAGCCUGGGAAACUGGGUCUAAUACCGGAUAUGACUUCAGGUUGCAUGACUUGGGGUGGAAAGAUUUAUCGGUGCAGGAUGGGCCCGCGGCCUAUCAGCUUGUCGGUGGGGUAAUGGCCUACCAAGGCGACGACGGGUA
rnacentral:rRNA from 1 species